rnacentral:rRNA from 1 species
GAUGAACGCUAGCUACAGGCUUAACACAUGCAAGUCGAGGGGAAACGAUAUUGGAAGCUUGCUUCCGAUAGGCGUCGACCGGCGCACGGGUGAGUAACGCGUAUCCAACCUGCCCAUCACUUGGGGAUAACCUUGCGAAAGUAAGACUAAUACCCAAUGAUAUCCGUCGAAGACAUCUGAAGUGGAUUAAAGAUUCAUCGGUGAUGGAUGGGGAUGCGUCUGAUUAGCUUGUUGGCGGGGUAACGGCCCACCAAGGCAACGAUCAGUAGGGGUUCUGAGAGGAAGGUCCCCCACAUUGGAACUGAGACACGGUCCAAACUCCUACGGGAGGCAGCAGUAAGGAAUAGUGGUCAAUGGACGAGAGUCUGAACCAGCCAAGUAGCGUGCAGGAUGACGGCCCUAUGGGUUGUAACCUGCUUUUAUAAGGGAAUAAAGUGGGAGUCGUGACUCCUUUUGCAUGUACCUUAUGAAUAAGGACCGGCUAAUUCCGUGCCAGCCGCCGCCGUAA